rnacentral:piRNA from 1 species
UGCUAGAUUACCACUUGUCAUCAGGUA